UACGGGGGGGGCAAGCGUUGUUCGGAAUUACUGGCGUAAAGGGCUCGUAGGCGGCCAACUAAGUCCGACGUGAAAUCCCCAGGCUUAACCUGGGAACUGCGUCGGAUACUGGAUGGCUUGAAUCCGGGAGAGGGAUGCGGAAUUCCAGGUGUAGCGGUGAAUGCGUAGAAUAUCUGGAGGAACACCGGUGGCGAAGGCGGCAUCCUGGACCGGCAUUGACGCUGAGGAGCGAAAGCCAGGGGAG
rnacentral:rRNA from 1 species